rnacentral:rRNA from 1 species
AUUGAACGCUGGCGGAAUGCUUUACACAUGCAAGUCGAACGGUAGAGGGGGCAACCCCUCGAGAGUGGCGAACGGGUGAGUAAUAUAUCGGAACGUGCCCAGUCGUGGGGGAUAACGUAGCGAAAGUUACGCUAAUACCGCAUACGAUCUAAGGAUGAAAGCGGGGGAUCGCAGGACCUCGCGCGAUUGGAGCGGCCGAUAGCAGAUUAGGUAGUUGGUGGGGUAAAGGCACACCAAGCCAACGAUCUGUAGCUGGUCUGAUAGGACGACCAGCCAAACUGGAACUGAGACACGGUCCAGACUCCUACGGGAGGCAGCAGUGGGGAAUUUUGGACAAUGGACGCAAGUCUGAUCCAGCCAUUCCGCGUGCAGGAUGAAGGCCCUCGGGUUGUAAACUGCUUUUGUACGGAACGAAAAGGUCUCUCUUAAUACGGGGGACUCAUGACGGUACCGUAAGAAUAAGCACCGGCUAACUACGUGCCAGCCGCCGCAGUAA